GUCCUGGCCGUAAACGUUGUGCACUAGGUGUUGGAGGCAUCGACCCCUCCAGUGCCGCAGCUAACGCAUUAAGUGCCCCGCCUGGGGGAGUACGGCCGCAAAGGUUGAAACUCAAAGGAAUUGACGGGGGCCCGCACAAGCGGUGGAGCAUGUGGUUUAAUUCGACGCAACGCGAAGAACCUUACCCAGACUUGACAUGCACGGGACCGGUGUUGAAAGACACCUUCCCUUCGGGGCUCGUGCACAGAUGCUGCAUGGCUGUCGU
rnacentral:rRNA from 1 species